rnacentral:ncRNA from 22 species
UACCUGGUUGAUCCUGCCAGUAGUCAU